rnacentral:tRNA from 1 species
GGGGAUACAGCUCAGUUGGUAGAGUGCUUGCCUCACAUGCACAAGGCCCUGGAUUCAAUCCCCAGCAUCACCA